GGACGCUGCCUACUGGUGGCCGGGCGGGAUGUAACCGGCUGCUGAGCUGGCAGUUCUGUGUCGCUAGGCUUCUGCCCGGCCGCCGCCGCACAUAAGCCACGAGGAGGAGCUUUACGACUUCCCGGUCUUCGGCGCCGGGCGCAGCAAGGGCCAGACUCUGCGCUAGCAGGCGCUGCGCGCCAACCGGCCGGCACCUGUCGCAGAAGGUGCAACCGAUCGCACUGUCGCGCAGAAGCUCCUCAAUGGCCAGCGCCAGCUGCAGCCCCGGCCGCCCACUCGCCUCAUCUGAGCCUGGGCAAAUCUGGAUUGGGAAAGUUGACAUUAAUCAACUCAUUAUUCCUCACAGAUUUGUAUUCUCCAGAGUAUCCAGGUCCUUCUCAGAGAAUUAAAAAGCCUGUACAGGUCUAGAUAUUGGUAUUUUUAAUUGAUGAUAAGCUGGAAUAAUAUUAAUACACACAAAGCACGUGUUGUAACUUUCAUUAUGCUUCCUUAGAGCAGAAGGUAAGCAUGAGCAAAUUACUUUUUAGAGGUAACUUUGCUGAACUUGUGAAGAAUGGUGUGCAAGGUCCAGAGCGACUGCAGGAGAGGGAAGGUGGGAUUCCCACAGAGCAGGAGCACAGAUAAGCCAAGCAAGGCCCUGCUUGGAAGGCAGCAAUCAACAGAGAUGCACAGACCUGUGAGGGUGCCGGGACAGCCAUGCAACAAUGCAGCCCUUUUGCUUCCUGAGCUCACCAGUUCCCUCGCUCCACCUCUGAGAGGUGGUUUGGAGAAACACAGCCCUUCUCAAGAGGGCUGCAAGCUACUUAAGUCCUGAAAAUUUCCACAAGGCUGAGUCAAAUCUGCGUUUCAUCAUCUAUAAGAAAGGUACCUAUCGAGAACACCCUGCUGGCCAGUGUGUAAAUAUCUAAAGGAGGACUCAGAAAACACCGGGGAAGUCCAGCCUGCACGUGGUGGCUGGGCUUCAGUGAAGCAUGCAGCACAACAGGAGUUAGCAGACCACAAAGAGCAUGUCUGGACCUAGAACCACAGCAUGUAACCUCGGAAGCAGUGAGACACCAGCCAGCAUGGACAAGCAGCAGGCACUUGCUCUAUACCAGAUAGGUCCCACCUCCAGCCUUCCCCUGCUGCCAUCUAACAUCCUAAACUCCAGCUCUGAAUGUCUGUCUCCUGCUCUGAAUCUUCAGUGACUUCGAAACUCAAGUCAGGACACCUCUCAGUUUGGCCUCACUGCUCAAGAUUGAGCUGAAUUCAUGACCAUAAUUCAAGCAUUCAGAUUCAUGGGCUGUUUUGUGGGUUUUGCUAUCUCUUAUUUUGUUUUUGCACAUCUUACCCACUGAAACGUUGGGCUGCAAAAAGUUUGAUCACUAAAUAUGUAGGCAAUGCUGGAUACUGGGCUGUUAUUUACAUAUUUGUAUCACCUUUUAUUUCAUAAGAUAGCAUUGUCAGAGUAAUUUAGUAUUUCAACAUAAUCAACAAGUAAAAUAAAAUUAAUGAGAAUGAUCUUA